AGACAUGGGAUCAAAAACUUCGCUUUUCCAUGGUUGAUGGAGACUUUAAGAAGUUUGAUGGCAAAUGAUUUUUGCUAGCAGAAGAACUGAAGCUACCAAAUUUGCCCAAUUAUGGAAUGAAAUUAUUUGCAGUUUUCGUGAGGAAGAUGUCAUUAGUGAUAGGCAAGGCCUCAAAGAAAAUGUAUUUACUUGCUCUUACAUGCCUUCUAUUACUUUCUCCUUGAUCCUUAUGUUUAAUUUAAUUAUAUUCCAAAAAUUGAUUGUUUCUAUUUUAUGCAUCUAUAUGGGGAUUGACCUCUUUUUAUUUUAUUUUACUUUUUAAAGAAAAAUAGUAAUGGUUAUGUAGAACAAUACCAUAUGGAAUUAUGUUUGGAACUA